rnacentral:rRNA from 1 species
AUUGAACGCUGGCGGCAUGCCUUACACAUGCAAGUCGAACGGCAGCACGGGUGCUUGCACCUGGUGGCGAGUGGCGAACGGGUGAGUAAUACAUCGGAACAUGUCCUGUAGUGGGGGAUAGCCCGGCGAAAGCCGGAUUAAUACCGCAUACGAUCUACGGAUGAAAGCGGGGGCCCUUCGGGCCUCGCGCUAUGGGGUUGGCCGAUGGCUGAUUAGCUAGUUGGUGGGGUAAAGGCCUACCAAGGCGACGAUCAGCAGCUGGUCUGAGAGGACGACCAGCCACACUGGGACUGAGACACGGCCCAGACUCCUACGGGAGGCAGCAGUGGGGAAUUUUGGACAAUGGGCGAAAGCCUGAUCCAGCAAUGCCGCGUGUGUGAAGAAGGCCUUCGGGUUGUAAAGCACUUUUGUCCGGAAAGAAAUCCUUGGCCCUAAUACGGUCGGGGGAUGACGGUACCGGAAGAAUAAGCACCGGCUAACUACGUG